GACGAACGCUGGCGGCGUGCUUAACACAUGCAAGUCGAACGGAAAGACCCUGCUUUUGUGGGGUGCUCGAGUGGCGAACGGGUGAGUAACACGUGAGUAACCUGCCCUUGACUUUGGGAUAACUUCAGGAAACUGGGGCUAAUACCGGAUAGGAGCUCCUGCUGCAUGGUGGGGGUUGGAAAGUUUCGGCGGUUGGGGAUGGACUCGCGGCUUAUCAGCUUGUUGGUGGGGUAGUGGCUUACCAAGGCUUUGACGGGUAGCCGGCCUGAGAGGGUGACCGGCCACAUUGGGACUGCGGUACGGCCCAGACUCCUACGGGAGGCAGCAGUGGGGAAUAUUGCACAAUGGGCGGAAGCCUGAUGCAGCAACGCCGCGUGCGGGAUGACGGCCUUCGGGUUGUAAACCGCUUUCGCCUGUGACGAAGCGUGAGUGACGGUAAUGGGUAAAGAAGCACCGGCUAACUACGUG
rnacentral:rRNA from 1 species